rnacentral:rRNA from 1 species
GACGUAGGGCGCGAGCGUUGUCCGGAUUUAUUGGGCGUAAAGAGCUCGUAGGCGGCUUGUCGCGUCGACUGUGAAAGCCCGCGGCUCAACCGCGGGUCUGCAGUCGAUACGGGCAGGCUAGAGUUCGGUAGGGGAGACUGGAAUUCCUGGUGUAGCGGUGAAAUGCGCAGAUAUCAGGAGGAACACCAAUAGCGAAGGCAGCUCGCUGGGACGUUACUGACACUAAGGCGCGAAAGCGUGGGGAGCGAACAGG